rnacentral:lncRNA from 1 species
AUGAGAGGAGUUAUGACACAUUUGUUUCCAUACUCUUAUUGCCCUUGUUCAGAAGUGCAGUGUAGUGGCCUUGACACACUGUUUAACAGCCUUGAUGUUCAGAAAUCUGCAGUCACACCCUGCCUCUUCCCUAAGGUUGACUCUGUGCCCAUGGAUAAAGAAACUGAGACCCAGAGAGGAUGAAAUUUGCUCAAGAUGAUAUACGUGAGAAAGAAGAACUUCAGCAAUGAAGAAUAUAAGUUUGGAUGCAAAGCAAAGAGAAAACCUCUUCAUACAUGAGAAAAAUACUUUUUUACUAAGAAGAACAUUUUGAAUAUGAGGGGGAUUAUUAAAUGCUUUACUUCAAAAUC